GGUUUUAUGGUGUAACGGUUAGCACUCCAGACUCUGAAUCUGGCGAUAAAACCUUAGUAUAUGAUAGUUAUUCUAUCGGAGAGCA